rnacentral:rRNA from 1 species
UACGGAGGGUGCAAGCGUUGUUCGGAAUCAUUGGGCGUAAAGCGCACGUAGGCGGAUUUCUAAGUCAGGGGUGAAAUCCUGGAGCUCAACUCCAGAACUGCCUUUGAUACUGGGAAUCUCGAGUCCGGGAGAGGUGAGUGGAACUGCGAGUGUAGAGGUGAAAUUCGUAGAUAUUCGCAAGAACACCAGUGGCGAAGGCGGCUCACUGGCCCGGUACUGACGCUGAGGUGCGAAAGCGUGGGGAGCAAACAGG